rnacentral:lncRNA from 1 species
GAAUGGUCUCUCUAUGCCCGGCUUCUUUUCACACGCGGACACGCGCACACGCGCGCUCCGGAGGCGAAGAUUUAAUACCCGGGUAACAGCCGCCACCAACCGACCGGUGGGCCUCCCUCCUUCCACAGGACAAGAGUCCCGCGGCCGCUGCGUCCAUUUCCCCAUCCUAGCGGCCCCACAGCAGCGAUGCAACCCAUUUUUCCCAUGGUGACUCACUAAUAAGGACACUCCGUAAUUCCCUCACUCACUAGGUCCUUGCGCUUACGGGGCAGGCGGUGGAACCAGUGAGCUAAAUCCCCAGCCCACAGCCUAAAGUUUCUUAAUGAGAAGGCACUGGAACCACUGAGCUAAAUCCCCGGCCCUCUUUCUGUAUUUUCAAUAGAAAAGAAAAGAAAAAACAAAGAGGAGGAAAAAACCAAGUAGGUAACCCACUCCGUUAUUCUCUUAUUUUUAACAAUAAUUGAUGUCAUUGAAAAAGAUCAA